rnacentral:rRNA from 1 species
AUGGCCGCAGUACUCUGACUGUGCAAAGGUAGCAUAAUCAAUUGGCUUAUAAUUGAAGUCUAGUAUGAAAGAAAAUACGGGAAUAGACUAUAUAUAAGGAUGUGUUUUAAAAAUUACUUAAUAAGUGAAAAGACUUAUGAUUAAAUAAUAGACGAGAAGACCCUAGAAAUUUUUAGGACAAAUACCAUAUAGUUUUUGUUGGGGCGACACAGUAGCAUUAUAACCUACUAAGAUGAAUAUGAUUAGUAUACUAAGAGUAAUUAAAUUACUCUAGGGAUAACAGCAUAAUAUUUAAAAGUUUGUGACCUCGAUGUUGGACUAGGAUACUACCGCCCAGAAGGUUGCUAGUAAAGCUCUGUUCG